UACAGAGGGUGCGAGCGUUGCUCGGAAUGACUGGGCGUAAAGGGCGCGUAGGCGGAUGGCACAGUCAGAUGUGAAAUUCCUGGGCUUAACCUGGGGGCUGCAUUUGAUACGUGUGAUCUAGAGUGAGGAAGAGGGUUGUGGAAUUCCCAGUGUAGAGGUGAAAUUCGUAGAUAUUGGGAAGAACACCGGUGGCGAAGGCGGCGACCUGGUCCUUAACUGACGCUGAGGCGCGAAAGCGUGGGGAGCGAACAGG
rnacentral:rRNA from 1 species